UACGUAGGGUGCAAGCGUUGUCCGGAAUUAUUGGGCGUAAAGAGCUCGUAGGCGGUUUGUUGCGUCGGCUGUGAAAACCUGAGGCUCAACCUCAGGCCUGCAGUCGAUACGAGCAGACUAGAGUGUUGCAGGGGAGACUGGAAUUCCUGGUGUAGCGGUGAAAUGCGCAGAUAUCAGGAAGAACACCCGUGGCUAAGGCGGUUCUCUAGUACGGUACUGACGCUGAGACGCGAAAGCGUGGGGAGCGAACAGG
rnacentral:rRNA from 1 species